CGGACGCCUGGCUCCUCCGAAAAGCGCACGAGACAGCCUUCCUCUCCUGGUUCCGCAAUGGCCUCCUGGCAUCGGGCAUCGGGGUCAUCUCCUUCAUGCAGAGUGACAUGGGUCGGGAAGCAGCAUAUGGUGAGUGCAGACCCCCCCUCUCGCCCCACGGAACCAGGGAAUGCAGAGCCCCUAUCACCUGCCCUGGUGAGAGUAGACUCUCCUACCCCAUCCCACUCCCAGUAGUAAGUAUAGAACCCCCAUUCUUCCCCCACCAGAAGACACCCCUCCCAUAGGCACUAGGUCCAUCUGAAUGGGUGGCCCAGGACAUGGUUAUGGUCCCCUCCCCUCCGAUCUGAUUCUCAAAGAUGCAGGCUAGCCCCUGGCACGGCCCUGCCUCUGUUCCUGUCUCCUCAACCCUGGCUUUGCUCCCAGACCAUCCCCCGACCUUGGCCCUGUUGCUACCCUGCCUCUCCCGCAGGCUUCUUCCUGCUGGGCGGCCUGUGCGUGGUGUGGGGCAGCGCCUCGUACGCCGUGGGCCUGGCGGCGC
rnacentral:lncRNA from 1 species